AGCAGUGGGGAAUUUUCCGCAAUGGGCGAAAGCCUGACGGAGCAAUACCGCGUGAGGGAGGAAGGCUCUUGGGUUGUAAACCUCUUUUCUCAGGGAAGAACACAAUGACGGUACCUGAGGAAUCAGCAUCGGCUAACUCCGUGCCAGCAGCCGCGGUAAUACGGAGGAUGCAAGCGUUAUCCGGAAUGAUUGGGCGUAAAGCGUCCGCAGGUGGCAAUGUAAGUCUGCUGUUAAAGAGUGAGGCUCAACCUCAUAAAAGCAGUGGAAACUACAUAGCUAGAGUGCGGUAGGGGCAGAGGGAAUUCCUGGUGUAGCGGUGAAAUGCGUAGAUAUCAGGAAGAACACCGGUGGCGAAAG
rnacentral:rRNA from 1 species